rnacentral:lncRNA from 1 species
CUAAUUUUUAUUUGUUUUGUGGGUUUGUUUCUUAUUUUCGAUUGGGUUAGAAGGUCAGACCCAUGUUUUAUUUUAGUUGGAUUUGAGUGAUAAAAGACGGCCUGACCUGUGUGUUUUGGCUUGGACUUUUGCCUGGGUUUACGUAGUAUCUGGCCCAAGCGCCUGUUGGGUUAGGAAGACCAGAAAUGAAUUUACUCUUUUGCCCCUAUACUUUUACUUUAUUGUAUUGUGACCCUAAUUACUUUAAGUUUCU